rnacentral:rRNA from 1 species
ACGACGCUGGCGGCGUGCUUAACACAUGCAAGUCGAACGGAGAUUAUUAAUGAAGCUUGCGAUUUAAUAAUCUUAGUGGCGGACGGGUGAGUAACGCGUGGGCAACCUACCCAUAAGCGGGGGAUAACAGUUGGAAACGACUGCUAAUACCGCAUAAGCUAUUGAGGUCGCAUGACCUAAAUAGUAAAGGUGGCGAAAGCUAUCACUUAUGGAUGGGCCCGCGUCUGAUUAGCUAGUUGGUGGGAUAGCAGCCUACCAAGGCAACGAUCAGUAGCCGGCCUGAGAGGGUGGACGGCCACACUGGGACUGAGACACGGCCCAGACUCCUACGGGAGGCAGCAGUGGGGAAUAUUGCGCAAUGGGGGAAACCCUGACGCAGCGACGCCGCGUGAGCGAAGAAGGCCUUAGGGUCGUAAAGCUCUGUUGUAAGGGACGAAUGUUUAUCUGGCGAACAGUCAGAUAAAGUGACGGUACCUUACCAGCAAGCCCCGGCUAACUACGUG